AUAAAAAUAAAUUUCAAAUUCAACGGGCAUGCGAAAAUUCAGAUAUGUUCAUUUCAAUUCUCAGAUACAGAAAUGGCAAAGGGAAACCCUAAACCGUCUCAGGAGAGGUGAAGGUGAAGGCAAAUCGGUUUGGUUGGUGGGAAAAUUGUUCGAAGGAAGAUGCAUUUCAUAGAAUAGACGCAGCAUUUGGGAAUUUUAUUUUAUUUUUUGCAAGCAAUGGCUUCCGACGCUAGC
rnacentral:misc_RNA from 1 species